CCUGGGCUACAGAGCAAGACCCUGUCUCAAAAAUAAAGAACAUAUGCCACUUGUGGUAGUCAUCAUAUGGUAGGGAACACCCUUCAGAUGUUGACCCCAGCAGCCAUGCCUAUAGGCCAGGUCAGAAACAACCAACGUGCUCAAAAUAGAAACUCCUUAUCAACCACUGGUCACUGGGGUUGAGAGCACCAUGUAUAAGACCACAGCAUUUGUUAUGUGGCCAGCACCAAUAAGGCAGAAAAUGAGGAAGAUCAGAAAGAGCUUCCUUUCUUCUAGGAUGGCUUGAUCAGGAGGCUCUUCAGGUGUGGCUGCCAGCAGUACCAAACUUUUCCUUACAACUUAGCAACUCUAUUCCAGCAAAGUCCCAGGCUAGUCACAUGCCAUGCUAAUUUCUGAAUCUGUCACCAUGACUCUGUCCAAGUCUGGCUUCUGUCGAGCUCUGAAGCCAGAACGUGAAAUUGGCCCCAUGAAACCACAUGGCCCGAAGGACCAAGUCUUUGCAAAACCUAUCAAAUGGAUGGAUGGCUUCAAGACAGCAGAGAACCCACAAGCUUGAAGAGGCCUCCGGAGAGUUCACUCAGGAUAAACGGGGUGCUGGCAUCGUCCUGGUCCUCUCUGUACAGUAACAGUGUUACAGCCCUGUGAGUUCAGUAGUAAAGGAUCUGGAGUCCAUGGGGAAAUUCUAAGGAGAUCAAUGGAACUGAUAUAUUAUAUAGCCAAAUACUUAUUAAUAAAGUAACCAUCCUUAUAAAGGCUGAUUUAGGCAAGCCUCUGCCUUCAGGAGGAAGUUCACUGAAACAAACCUGGCAGAUUGAUGACUCUGUCUUUCAAAUCUCCAGGAAAUAUGGUUUCAUAAUUUUUCUUUAUCACCUAGCCCCAACUUUAAUUUUCAUAAUUCAGUGUGUAAAGCACUGUGCCAGGUUUCUAGUGAGUACACAAUGAGGAAGCCAUACUCUUUGCAUUCAAGAGUUUAUAUAGUUAUACAAAAGCACUUACUAAUGACAAUAUCAGCAACUAACAUUUGAAUGCUUACUAUGUGCUUGGAACUUUAUCUCCUUUAAACCAACAAUAGCCCCAUUAAGUGGGUAAUAUUAUUAGUCCCAUUCUACAGAUGAAAAAACCAAGGCUCACGUAAGUUACAUGAUUUACUAAGGGUCACACAACUGGAAUGGUGGAAUUGAGAUUUAAUCCAGGCAGUCUAUGCCUGUUUAGCAAGUUCUGUUACAGAAGCAUAAGAAAAAGAGACACAAAGCACAAAAGAUUAGAUAUAUUUCAAAUAUGGGAGGACUUUAAAACUGAGAGGAGGUGGUACAGACACAACCGGGGCAGGGAGCAGGUUGUAGUGAAUCUAGAAUGGAGAACAGGCUGGUUGUCAGUAAGAAGUGACGAGAGAGAGAGGUGGGAAAUGACUGAACAGAGAGCUUGAAGCCAGAUCACGAAAGCUUGUCAAAGCUAUGCUAAAGGAGUUUGGAUUUCAUUCUGUAGACAAUGGGAAUGACAGAAAUGUGAACAUGGAAAUAAUAUGCUUUCUUUUGUGUUAUGAGUAUCUUGGCAGAAUUGAUUUGGAUGGAUCAGAGUGAAUGGAGACCAGUUGAAGGAAGACUGGUUCAAUGGCUAGAGAAUAUGAAUGUUGGUCUUAAGUCCAAGGCCCACAUGUCAAAGACGAGUGCUCUGCUGAUAUCUAGUUGAGUGACUUUGGAAAAGUCUGAGGCCUCGAUUUCCUCACCUGGAAAGUGAAAACACUGGACAUGCUCUUUGACAUUUCAUCCAGCACUGAAAUUUUAUAGUCUUGUGAAAAAUCUCUUCUUGAAAUGUUAUCUUGGGUGGUCUUAGAUUGUGUGUGACUGGAACUGGGGCUGAUUUGUAAAACCCUUGAAUGUGCUUGAAAAUACCAACCCACAGUGUUUUCUUCUCCUGGGAAAAGAACCAAAACUCUUAAAAAAUAUACAUUGUGCUUUCUAUCUUUAAUACCAUUUAUAAAU
rnacentral:lncRNA from 1 species